GACGAACGCUGGCGGCGUGCCUAAUACAUGCAAGUAGAACGCUGAAGGAGGAGCUUGCUUCUCUGGAUGAGUUGCGAACGGGUGAGUAACGCGUAGGUAACCUGCCUGGUAGCGGGGGAUAACUAUUGGAAACGAUAGCUAAUACCGCAUAAGAGUAGAUGUUGCAUGACAUUUGCUUAAAAGGUGCAAUUGCAUCACUACCAGGUGGACCUGCGUUGUAUUAGCUAGUUGGUGAGGUAACGGCUCACCAAGGCAACGAUACAUAGCCGACCUGAGAGGGUGAUCGGCCACACUGGGACUGAGACACGGCCCAGACUCCUACGGGAGGCAGCAGUAGGGAAUCUUCGGCAAUGGACGGAAGUCUGACCGAGCAACGCCGCGUGAGUGAAGAAGGUUUUCGGAUCGUAAAGCUCUGUUGUAAGAGAAGAACGAGUGUGAGAGUGGAAAGUUCACACUGUGACGGUAUCUACCAGAAAGGA
rnacentral:rRNA from 1 species